rnacentral:rRNA from 1 species
UACGUAGGGGGCAAGCGUUAUCCGGAAUGAUUGGGCGUAAAGCGUCCGCAGGUGGCAGUUCAAGUCUGCUGUCAAAGACCGGGGCUUAACUUCGGAAAGGCAGUGGAAACUGAGCAGCUAGAGUAUGGUAGGGGCAGAGGGAAUUCCUGGUGUAGCGGUGAAAUGCGUAGAGAUCAGGAAGAACAUCGGUGGCGAAGGCGCUCUGCUGGACCAUAACUGACACUCAGGGACGAAAGCUAGGGGAGCGAAUGGG